rnacentral:rRNA from 1 species
AGAGUUUGAUCAUGGCUCAGGGUUAACGCUGGCGGCGUGCCUAACACAUGCAAGUCGAGCGAGAGCCUGGUCCUCGCAAGGGGAGUGGGUAUCUAGCGGCAAACGGGUGAGUAACACGUGGGCAACCUGUCCCUUCGAGGGGGAUAACACCGAGAAAUCGGUGCUAAUACCGCAUGAGAUCGCUGGUGGCAUCAUUGGCG